GGGGAGAAGGGGCGGCCGCCGCCGGCAACCUCGGGCGGAGCGGGCCGGAGAAAGAGGCAGGGCGUGCUGACCCCCUCCUCGUCCGCUUCGCCCAACUUUCCCGCCUUCGGUGUUGACAGGUGGUCUUUUUCACUGUAGGGAGGGAGUGGAGGAGGGAGAUCAACAUCUUGGCAAGACAAUUCAGGAGUGCUCCAAGGACAACUAUAAUGAAACAGCCUAGGAACAGGAGAGGACACCCAUUGCAAAGGAAUGAUGAAGACAACUUCCAUCACGUAGAAUUUUCCAUCUUCACAGGACCUCAGUGACAGGGAGGUGAUUUAGCAGUCUCCAGCAAAGCAGUACAGAACUAGAGUCUGAGAUGUUCAUACUCAUUAAACCAGUGUACUACCUAAGCUAUCUCAGAUCUUCAUGUUUCCAUGGAAUUAUUUACUAUGCACUACCACAAGAUCACCCUGAUAGUUCUGUAUAUAACCUGUUGCCAGCAUUUCAUCAUCUAUCCGCAUUAAUACUUCAGCAGACAACCUUUAAAAAGGCUUUACAAAGAAAGAUAUGGAAGGCACAGCAGAAAUUUCAAAUUGACAGUAGCAUUUGUCAGCUGGAAUCCUCUGGAAUUCAGAAGUCCUUCAUGUUAUUAGGUGUCUAAGAAGCAAUAGUUCUUUUUAAGACUGACACCUACAUACUUUCUGUAAAAUAGACAAGUAUACUAAGGGGUCUUGGAGUGUAUUAUGGCCUAGUUUUGUUCCUUAGUAGGUUUAAACAU